GAUGAAGAACGUAGCGAAAUGCGAUAAGUAAUGUGAAUUGCAGAAUUCAGUGAAUCAUCGAAUCUUUGGACGCACAUUGCGCCCUCUGGUAUUCCGGGGGGCAUGCCUGUUCGAGCGUCAUUAUAACCACUCAAGCUCUCGCUUGGUAUUGGGGUUCGCGGUUUCGCGGCCCCUAAAAUCAGUGGCGGUGCCUGUCGGCUCUACGCGUAGUAAUACUUCUCGCGAUUGAGUUCGAUAGGUCUACUUGCCAGUAACCCCCAAUUUUUACAGGUUGACCUCGGAUCAGGUAGGGAUACCCGCUGAACUUAAGCAUAUCAAUAAGCGGAGGA
rnacentral:misc_RNA from 1 species